rnacentral:rRNA from 1 species
GACAGAGGUGGCGAGCGUUGUUCGGAUUUAUUGGGCGUAAAGCGAACGCAGGUGGUUUGGUAAGUCAGGGGUGAAAUCCCCGGGCUUAACCUGGGAACUGCGCUUGUGACUGCAUAACUCGAGUGUGGCAGAGGGGGGUGGAAUUCCGCGUGUAGCGGUGAAAUUCGUAGAUAUUCGGAGGAACACCGGUGGCGAAGGCGGCUUCCUGGCAUGUAACUGACACUCAUGUUCGAAAGCGUGGGUAGCAAACAGGAUUAGAAACCCCGGGUAGU